CAUACUGCUUAUAGUACAUUAGGAAAAAUCAUCCAGAACUUGGAAAAGGGGCUGGACAGACACAGCCCUUCGAGGUUGUCCGAUGAACCCCUGGGGUCUUUAACCAUCUGGAGGGAUGUACCAUGUCAGACUCACUAUUGUCGACCGGCUGAAGCCCAGGUUUCAUGAGGUUAUGUGUCAGCUUGUAGGACUUUCUCUGGCAGAGAUGCGAGUGACUUCUGCUCAGUGAGAGGUUCAUCUCAGGGACUUCAUGGCCUGAGGGAUGGCAGCCUGUUUGAGCUGAUGGAGCAAUCUCGCGCUACCCUUAUUUUCUGAAACGCCUAUGAGUGACUUCUCACACGGUCUUUGAAGCGGCUUCAUGCCCGCGCUCCUUGGUAAUGAUCGAAUGCUUUUUUUGACCCCUCGUCCUCUUUCUUUGAGGUGUUCCAGUCUCAGUUCUCAUGAUGUGUUCUGCUUCUGCAGGAAUUUCUGAAGCUGCUGAGUGUAGAAAGCACUGAGGAGGCUGCGCUCCCACCCCUAUUUCUUUGCAUCUUCUCCCUUAUCCAGAAGUGAGGGUGAAUGCUGAGUUAUUCACGGGAGUCAAGAAACCACACGCAGCCCAAAGUGACGUUUGUUUCCCUGAAAUGAUUUGUGUGUGUUCACCUUAAAAUGCAACUCAGUAAAA